UACAGAGGGGGCAAGCGUUAUUCGGAAUUAUUGGGCGUAAAGGGCGCGUAGGCGGCCGCCUAAGUCAGACGUGAAAUCCCUCGGCUCAACCGGGGAACUGCGUCUGAUACUGGGUGGCUUGAAUCCGGGAGAGGGAUGCGGAAUUCCAGGUGUAGCGGUGAAAUGCGUUGAUAUCAUCAGGAACACCGGAGGCGAAGGCGGCUCACUGGGGAUUUUCUGACGCUGAGGAACGAAAGCCAGGGGAGCGAACGGG
rnacentral:rRNA from 1 species